UUGAAAGGGAAACGAUUGAAGUCAGUCGUACCGACGAGAAAUCAACUUAUCGUGUGCGAACUUGUGGGCGUGCGUGAGUUUCGGCCUCGCUGUUUGCAUGUUUGUGCGUUUUGGGUGUACUUUUUCGUAUGGUAGGCCAACGUCAGUUUCGAUUAUCAUAAAAUGACCGGCGGAAUGUAGCUUCGAUUUCGGUUGAAGUGUUAUAGCCUCUGGUAGAUGUGGUAAUUGAGACUGAGGAUUGCAACGAAUACCCUUUGGGCUAUCCGUCUGGCCUCUGAAAGUUGCUCAGGUGCCGAAAGCGUGCUUACGGUUAUCUAAGAUAACGUUCAACAGGUUAGAACGUGAUUGCAUUCGUUAAGGAUGUUGACGUA
rnacentral:rRNA from 1 species